AUACGGAGGGGGCAAGCGUUGUUCGGAAUUACUGGGCGUAAAGGGCGCGUAGGCGGGAAGUCAAGUUAGGGGCGAAAGGCCUGGGCUCAACCUAGGAACUGCCUCUAAAACUGGCUAUCUAGAGUCCGGGAGAGGAUGGCGGAAUUCCCAGUGUAGAGGUGAAAUGCGUAGAUAUUGGGAAGAACACCAGUGGCGAAGGCGGCCAUCUGGUCCGGCACUGACGCUGAGGCGCGAAAGCGUGGGGAGCAAACAGGAUUAGAAACCCCAGUAGUCC
rnacentral:rRNA from 1 species